UUUCACUAAAAGUUUGUUUCAUUAAAUUCUAAUAUUUAUUUAAUAGAAUCAAACUAUAUUAUAGGACGUGCGAUUCCACAUCGUCGGAGACGUCCCGUAGGUCGUCUUAGUUUAAGACGACCAGCUGCAGAAGCGCUCGGUGAAGUCGUACCAGCACGAAGAGCACGAAUCGAGGCCCUGCGGAAUAUUCCGUGUAAUAAGCGGAACAUACCAGUGAUCAUAUUAUCAUUCGAUAAUGAUUCGCA